GGUGGCUCAGUGGUAGAGCUCUUGCCUUGCAUGCAUGAGGCCCUGGGUUCAAUUUCCAAGCACCA
rnacentral:tRNA from 1 species